CGCCAGCAGCCGCGGUAAUACGUAGGGAGCAAGCGUUGUUCGGAUUUACUGGGCGUAAAGGGCGCGUAGGCGGCGCGGUAAGUCACUUGUGAAAUCUCUGAGCUUAACUCAGAACGGCCAAGUGAUACUGCAGUGCUAGAGUGUAGAAGGGGCAAUCGGAAUUCUUGGUGUAGCGGUGAAAUGCGUAGAUAUCAAGAGGAACACCUGAGGUGAAGACGGGUUGCUGGUCUAACACUGACGCUGAGGCGCGAAAGCCAGGGGAGCAAACGGGAUUAGAUACCCCGGUAGUCCUGGCCCUAAACGAUGAAUACUUGGUGUCCGGGGUUUCAAGACCCUGGGUGCCGUCGCUAACGUUUUAAGUAUUCCGCCUGGGGAGUACGCUCGCAAGAGUGAAACUUAAAGGAAUUGGCGGGGGAC
rnacentral:rRNA from 1 species